CGAANCUUCUUUAUCACCGAGUGCUUGCACUCACCGAUAAAGAGUUGAGUGGCGAACGGGUGAGUAACACGUGGGCAACCUGCCCAAAAGAGGGGGAUAACACUUGGAAACAGGUGCUAAUACCGCAUAACCAUAGUUACCGCAUGGCAACUAUGUAAAAGGUGGCUAUGCUACCGCUUUUGGAUGGGCCCGCGGCGCAUUAGCUAGUUGGUGAGGUAAAGGCUUACCAAGGCAAUGAUGCGUAGCCGAACUGAGAGGUUGAUCGGCCACAUUGGGACUGAGACACGGCCCAAACUCCUACGGGAGGCAGCAGUAGGGAAUCUUCCACAAUGGGCGAAAGCCUGAUGGAGCAACGCCGCGUGGGUGAAGAAGGUCUUCGGAUCGUAAAACCCUGUUGUUAGAGAAGAAAGUGCGUGAGAGUAACUGUUCACGUUUCGACGGUAUCUAACCAGAAAGCCACGGCUAACUACGUGCCAGCAGCCGCGGUAAUACGUAGGUGGCAAGCGUUAUCCGGAUUUAUUGGGCGUAAAGGGAACGCAGGCGGUCUUUUAAGUCUGAUGUGAAAGCCUUCGGCUUAACCGGAGUAGUGCAUUGGAAACUGGGAGACUUGAGUGCAGAAGAGGAGAGUGGAACUCCAUGUGUAGCGGUGAAAUGCGUAGAUAUAUGGAAGAACACCAGUGGCGAAAGCGGCUCUCUGGUCUGUAACUGACGCUGAGGUUCGAAAGCGUGGGUAGCAAACAGGAUUAGAUACCCUGGUAGUCCACGCCGUAAACGAUGAAUGCUAAGUGGUUGGAGGGUUUCCGCCCUUCAGUGCUGCAGCUAACGCAAUAAGCAUUCCGCCUGGGGGAGUACGACCGCAAGGUUGAAACUCAAAGGAAUUGACGGGGGCCCGCACAAGCG
rnacentral:rRNA from 1 species